rnacentral:misc_RNA from 1 species
GGAACUUAUUUCCAGGCAACAGCAGAGUGAUGAGACCCCCAUGGUAUGGGAGAUGCUCUUACAUUUACAUCCUCUAUUCACCAGACUGGUACUAUCGUAGCAAGAUGCUCACUCUCCUAUUCAUGUAUGGUGCUGUUUUUGCUAUUGUUCCAUCCAGUGGUACAUUUUGAAAUAGGCUCCAAGGUGCGCUAUGUGAUCCUCUGCUUCCUUUGCAUCCCCCGAACACACAAGAUGNNNNNNNNNNNNNAAACUGUAUGUGGCUACCCUUCUUAUUGGUAGUUUGUGUUGGCUUUUUAAUCGUUUUUUCUGCAAGAAGAUAUCAAAUUGGCCCAUCAACCCACUGGGACAUGCUUUCUGGCAUGUCCUAAUGGGUCUUAAUGCCUACUUUGCAAACACUUUCUUGAUGUUUUGUCGUGCACAACAACGAGGAUGGGCACCAAGGUUGUCCAUUUUAGGGGGGAUUCUUCUAUAUGUGAAGAUUGGAAAAUCAAAAACUCAAUCAAAGAAAAUGAAAUGAUGAAGAGUAAAUUUUUUUUUUUUGGCUUAUAAUUGGCGUAUAUGAGAAGUUCUGGCAAGCGAGGAAAACAAUCGGUCAAAUUUAUUGUUCAUCUGGACUGAUCUUGAGUGGGGAAAUGUAACAACAAAAUUUUCAUUGUAAAAGUAAGAAAUUGUACUAUAUUUAAA